rnacentral:rRNA from 1 species
GGUUAAGCGACUAAGCGUACACGGUGGAUGCCCUGGCAGUCAGAGGCGAUGAAGGACGUGCUAAUCUGCGAUAAGCGUCGGUAAGGUGAUAUGAACCGUUAUAACCGGCGAUUUCCGAAUGGGGAAACCCAGUGUGUUUCGACACACUAUCAUUAACUGAAUCCAUAGGUUAAUGAGGCGAACCGGGGGAACUGAAACAUCUAAGUACCCCGAGGAAAAGAAAUCAACCGAGAUUCCCCCAGUAGCGGCGAGCGAACGGGGAGCAGCCCAGAGCCUGAAUCAGUGUGUGUGUUAGUGGAAGCGUCUGGAAAGGCGCGCGAUACAGGGUGACAGCCCCGUACACAAAAAUGCACAUACUGUGAGCUCGAUGAGUAGGGCGGGACACGUGGUAUCCUGUCUGAAUAUGGGGGACCAUCCUCCAAGGCUAAAUACUCCUGACUGACCGAUAGUGAACCAGUACCGUGAGGGAAAGGCGAAAAGAACCCCGGCGAGGGGAGUGAAAAAGAACCUGAAACCGUGUACGUACAAGCAGUGGGAGCACGCUUAGGCGUGUGACUGCGUACCUUUUGUAUAAUGGGUCAGCGACUUAUAUUCUGUAGCAAGGUUAACCGAAUAGGGGAGCCGAAGGGAAACCGAGUCUUAACUGGGCGUUAAGUUGCAGGGUAUAGACCCGAAACCCGGUGAUCUAGCCAUGGGCAGGUUGAAGGUUGGGUAACACUAACUGGAGGACCGAACCGACUAAUGUUGAAAAAUUAGCGGAUGACUUGUGGCUGGGGGUGAAAGGCCAAUCAAACCGGGAGAUAGCUGGUUCUCCCCGAAAGCUAUUUAGGUAGCGCCUCGUGAAUUCAUCUCCGGGGGUAGAGCACUGUUUCGGCAAGGGGGUCAUCCCGACUUACCAACCCGAUGCAAACUGCGAAUACCGGAGAAUGUUAUCACGGGAGACACACGGCGGGUGCUAACGUCCGUCGUGAAGAGGGAAACAACCCAGACCGCCAGCUAAGGUCCCAAAGUCAUGGUUAAGUGGGAAACGAUGUGGGAAGGCCCAGACAGCCAGGAUGUUGGCUUAGAAGCAGCCAUCAUUUAAAGAAAGCGUAAUAGCUCACUGGUCGAGUCGGCCUGCGCGGAAGAUGUAACGGGGCUAAACCAUGCACCGAAGCUGCGGCAGCGACGCUUAUGCGUUGUUGGGUAGGGGAGCGUUCUGUAAGCCUGUGAAGGUGUGCUGUGAGGCAUGCUGGAGGUAUCAGAAGUGCGAAUGCUGACAUAAGUAACGAUAAAGCGGGUGAAAAGCCCGCUCGCCGGAAGACCAAGGGUUCCUGUCCAACGUUAAUCGGGGCAGGGUGAGUCGACCCCUAAGGCGAGGCCGAAAGGCGUAGUCGAUGGGAAACAGGUUAAUAUUCCUGUACUUGGUGUUACUGCGAAGGGGGACGGAGAAGGCUAUGUUGGCCGGGCGACGGUUGUCCCGGUUUAAGCGUGUAGGCUGGUUUUCCAGGCAAAUCCGGAAAAUCAAGGCUGAGGCGUGAUGACGAGGCACUACGGUGCUGAAGCAACAAAUGCCCUGCUUCCAGGAAAAGCCUCUAAGCAUCAGGUAACAUCAAAUCGUACCCCAAACCGACACAGGUGGUCAGGUAGAGAAUACCAAGGCGCUUGAGAGAACUCGGGUGAAGGAACUAGGCAAAAUGGUGCCGUAACUUCGGGAGAAGGCACGCUGAUAUGUAGGUGAAGUCCCUCGCGGAUGGAGCUGAAAUCAGUCGAAGAUACCAGCUGGCUGCAACUGUUUAUUAAAAACACAGCACUGUGCAAACACGAAAGUGGACGUAUACGGUGUGACGCCUGCCCGGUGCCGGAAGGUUAAUUGAUGGGGUCAGCGCAAGCGAAGCUCUUGAUCGAAGCCCCGGUAAACGGCGGCCGUAACUAUAACGGUCCUAAGGUAGCGAAAUUCCUUGUCGGGUAAGUUCCGACCUGCACGAAUGGCGUAAUGAUGGCCAGGCUGUCUCCACCCGAGACUCAGUGAAAUUGAACUCGCUGUGAAGAUGCAGUGUACCCGCGGCAAGACGGAAAGACCCCGUGAACCUUUACUAUAGCUUGACACUGAACAUUGAGCCUUGAUGUGUAGGAUAGGUGGGAGGCUUAGAAGUGUGGACGCCAGUCUGCAUGGAGCCGACCUUGAAAUACCACCCUUUAAUGUUUGAUGUUCUAACGUUGACCCGUAAUCCGGGUUGCGGACAGUGUCUGGUGGGUAGUUUGACUGGGGCGGUCUCCUCCUAAAGAGUAACGGAGGAGCACGAAGGUUGGCUAAUCCUGGUCGGACAUCAGGAGGUUAGUGCAAUGGCAUAAGCCAGCUUGACUGCGAGCGUGACGGCGCGAGCAGGUGCGAAAGCAGGUCAUAGUGAUCCGGUGGUUCUGAAUGGAAGGGCCAUCGCUCAACGGAUAAAAGGUACUCCGGGGAUAACAGGCUGAUACCGCCCAAGAGUUCAUAUCGACGGCGGUGUUUGGCACCUCGAUGUCGGCUCAUCACAUCCUGGGGCUGAAGUAGGUCCCAAGGGUAUGGCUGUUCGCCAUUUAAAGUGGUACGCGAGCUGGGUUUAGAACGUCGUGAGACAGUUCGGUCCCUAUCUGCCGUGGGCGCUGGAGAACUGAGGGGGGCUGCUCCUAGUACGAGAGGACCGGAGUGGACGCAUCACUGGUGUUCGGGUUGUCAUGCCAAUGGCACUGCCCGGUAGCUAAAUGCGGAAGAGAUAAGUGCUGAAAGCAUCUAAGCACGAAACUUGCCCCGAGAUGAGUUCUCCCUGACUCCUUGAGAGUCCUGAAGGAACGUUGAAGACGACGACGUUGAUAGGCCGGGUGUGUAAGCGCAGCGAUGCGUUGAGCUAACCGGUACUAAUGAACCGUGAGGCUUAACCUU